rnacentral:rRNA from 1 species
UACGGAGGGUGCAAGCGUUAUCCGGAUUCACUGGGUUUAAAGGGUGCGUAGGUGGGCAAGUAAGUCAGUGGUGAAAUCUCCGGGCUUAACCCGGAAUCUGCCAUUGAUACUAUUUGUCUUGAAUACUGUGGAGGUCAGCGGAAUAUGUCAUGUAGCGGUGAAAUGCUUAGAUAUGACAUAGAACACCAAUUGCGAAGGCAGCUGGCUACACAAAUAUUGACACUGAGGCACGAAAGCGUGGGGAUCAAACAGG